GACGAACCGUGCGAACGUUAUUCGGAAUCACUGGGCCUAAAGCGCGUGUAGGCGGGCCGGCACGUCUGUGGCUGAAAUCCCCCGGCUCAACCGGGGAAGCGGCCCGGAUACGACCGGCCUGGAGGGGGGUAGGGGAGCCGGGAACUGCCGGUGGAGCGGUGAAAUGCGUUGAGAUCGGCAGGAACGCCCGCGGCGAAAGCGCGGCUCUGGACCCCACCUGACGCUGAGAAUGCGAAAGCCAGGGGAGCGAACAGG
rnacentral:rRNA from 1 species